UAAAAGGUCCAGCCUGCCCAGUGACCAUGUUCAACGGCCGCGGUAUCCUAACCGUGCGAAGGUAGCGUAAUCACUUGUUCUUUAAAUGAGGACUAGUAUGAAUGGCACCACGAGGGUUACACUGUCUCCUUUUUCUAAUCGGUGAAACUAAUCUUCCCGUGAAGAAGCGGGGAUAAAAAUAUAAGACGAGAAGACCCUAUGGAGCUUUAAACAAAAUAACAAUUACCACAACUAAAAAUAAAUUCCAGAAAAAUAACCCCCCACCUCGGUACUCUGUUUAUUAGUUUUAGGUUGGGGUGACCGCGGAGCAAAAAACAACCUCCGCGCUGAACGGGACUUACCCCUAAACAAAAAGCUACAACUUUAUGUAUCAGCACACUGACACCAAUUGACCCAAAAAUUUGAUCAACGAACCAAGUUACCCUAGGGAUAACAGCGCAAUCCAUUUCAAGAGCCCCUAUCGACAAAUGGGUUUACGACCUCGAUGUUGGAUCAGGGUCCCCCAGUGGUGCAGCCGCUACUAAAGGUUUGUUUGUUCAACAAUUAAAA
rnacentral:rRNA from 1 species